UCCUUAAAGUUCUCCUACACA
rnacentral:tRNA from 1 species